ACUAUGAAUUCUACCUCCCUCUAUCGUACUCUAGUGAGUUAGUUUUGGAUGCAGUUCCUAGGUUGAGCCCAGGGCUUUCACAUCCAACUUAACAAACCACCUACGCGCGCUUUACGCCCAGUAAUUCCGAUUAACGCUUGCACCUUCCGUAUUACCGCGGCUGCUGGCACGGAAUUAGCCGGUGCUUAUUCUGCAGGUAACAUCAAGGUUAUAAGGUAUUAGCUUAUAACUUUUUCUCCCUGCUUAAAGUGCUUUACAACCCGAAGGCCUUCUUCACACACGCGGUAUGGCUGGAUCAGGCUUGCGCCCAUUGUCCAAUAUUCCCCACUGCUGCCUCCCGUAGGAGUCUGGGCCGUGUCUCAGUCCCAAUGUGGCUGAUCGUCCUCUCAGACCAGCUAAAGAUCGUUGCCUUGGUGAGCCUUUACCUCACCAACAAGCUAAUCUUACGCAGGCUCAUCUAGUAGCGAAAGCUUCAAAGAGAGGCCUUCUUUCUCCCGAAGGAGGUAUACGGUAUUAAUCCGGGUUUCCCCGGGCUAUCCCCUUCUACUAGGUAGAUUCCUACGCGUUACUCACCCGUCCGCCGCUGUACUCGUAUCCGAAGAUACUUUCUCGCACGACUUGCAUGUGUUAAGCCUACCGCCAGCGUUCAAUCUGAGCCAGGAUCAAACUCU
rnacentral:rRNA from 1 species